rnacentral:lncRNA from 1 species
UGGAUGGUAAAGAAUUUAGAAUAUUAGGAAAGAAUUAUGCUGUCUGUUCUCUGUCUGCUGCACAUUUUUUAAGAGAAAUAAACAUUUUAAAUUUAUUUUUUUCUCACUCAAUAUAUUUCUCUCUAUUCUUUCUCAUGUAGCCCAUCAGGCCAUGUGGAUACUUUGCAGAGAGAACAAAGACAGAUAUAUGAGUAGGAAGGGAGAGAGGACUCAGUAUAACUACUUUUUGCUUUCAUAUAUGUCUUUUUUACUGGUAUAUUUCCCCUCAAGAACAUUCACAGGGUGAAAACAACAUAAGGGCUACUGAAAAUAUGUAGCAAUGUACUGCAUGCUUUUUAUCCUCAUUAAUUCGAGACAGAUAGCAUUUGAAAGUAAAAUAUCCCUCAAUAUCACUACAAAAAAAAAAAAAAAAAGCAAAUACAAGAUGAGCAAUGCAGUGCUUGUUUCAGUGAUCUUAGCGUGAAGUUCAGUGGGCUGUGGGUGUAAAUGUUCAGAGAUACCCUGUGUGGUAGUGGGUUCAAGAGAAAGGUCUGUGGGAUGGCUCCUCUGUGUUUCCUAACUAGAUAGGUAUGCAGUCAUCAAAAGGGCACUGGUUGUAAGCCCUCGUUGUUGGAGAGUAUAGCAAUGGUGAACUCACUGUUCAUAUCCAAUGGGGGGUCUAAAUUCAAUGGGACCUUGGUGGGAAAACCUGAAUGCUCAUCUGUGAGAGCAGCAAGUGAAUGAAAACCUCACUCAUUGCACAAGCAUUUGCCCUGCCCAUGCAAUCUAAGCCACCAGGAAGUGCAUUUGUGCUCUGCUGAGAGGCUGCCAUGUUUUACUUUGACAGGACCGAAGCCAUCAGAGGGUUCAUGCCCAGAUGUAUCUCUUUGUUGCAGCACAUGUUGGCAUGCUCCGAUGCUGAAAGUGAAGGUUUGGAUACCUAUCCAGUGCAAUCUCAGACACAUUAUUAAAAGAUUGGCUCAGGACUUUCUUCCUGUUCUCCCUGUCCUUUUGCUUGGAAGAUCAGUUGCUAUGACCAAAAUCAAUCAACAUUUCAAGGCUCCUGGCACACACAUGUAAAGACAAAUCACUUUGUCACUCCAUUAUUACAAUUAUGUGAUGGGAAGGAGAAUGCAGUCCAGAAUACAGGAUCCCCAAAUCUUCAACCCCAAAUGCCCUUGCAGAUGAACCCUCUACUUACCUAGCAAGAAAAGAUGUAGGCUUAGUUUCACAGUAUGUAGCUUGGCUCUGAUUCUGUGUAUGAGAAAGCUUACUGUAAGACCAAAAUCAAAUUAUCUCUAUGUUCAGAAGAUAGUUACCAUUAAAUUCAUCUCUGCGCUGUCUAAUUUAAUUUUCAGAUUUUUGCGUAG